UCUGCCCACAACAACAGUGGCCUUGCAGAGGAAUGUGGGAACCACGGGCGGACACCACCCAGCCACAGGUCAGGGUGGGAGCAGUGACAUGGAGCACACAAUGACAGAUCCGGUGCCAACAACACAGGUCUCCAGGAUGGAUACUGCUCCAGUCAGGCCUUUCACAGACACAGGUUCCCCGCUGCUGUACGGGCCGGCGGCCGCGCUGGGCGGCGCCGCGCUGGGCGCGCUGCUGGCGG